UAAAGCUGUCUUAAAACAUUUUUCUCAGAAAAUGACAGUCAAAGUGACCACUUUUGACUGCUUUUCUUUUUUAGGGUGGGGAAUGGUUUCUUAGCUUGGGGAUGGAAAGUCUGGCAUGGGAUCAUGAUCGAUAGAUCAAACUCCUGAGAGUCUGAGCAAGUCAGAGAUCCAUCUAUAAAUCCUAUAGGUGCAUAUCUGCACCUCUUCUGGCAGAAGAUAAAGGCUGUUUCCAGCUAUGUAAUGUUUUUCGAUCACAUGACAUGGAAAUUGACCAGUGUUUGCUGGAGUCCCUCCCUCUCGGCCAGCGGCAGCGGCUGGUGAAGCGCAUGCGCUGUGAUCAAAUAAAGGCGUACUAUGAACGAGAGAAGGCUUUGCAGAAACGGGAAGGUUAUGCCCAAAAACUGAAACAUGGAAAGAAUCACCGAGUCCGUUUCAAUCUUGCUGAUAUGAUACAGGAUGCGAUCGUACAUCAUGAUGAUAAAGAAGUGCUACGGCUAUUGAAGGAUGGUGCCGACCCUCAUACAUUCAUUUCCUCAGGAGGCUCCUUGCUCCAUCUGUGUGCCCGCUAUGAUAAUGCAUUUGCUGCAGAAAUUCUAAUUGACAGAGGAGUAAAUGUAAAUCAUCAGGACGAGGAUUUUUGGACCUCAAUGCACGUAGCCUGUGCAUGUGAUAAUCCUGAUAUUGUCCUGCUACUGCUACUAGCUGGAGCAAAUGUGCUGCUGCAAGAUGUUAAUGGAAACAUUGCACUUGAUUAUGCCAUAGAAGGGACUGAAUCCAGCAGCAUCCUUCUGAUGUACUUGGAAGAAAAUGGUGUAGAUCUGAAUUCGUUGCGCCAAAUGAAGAUACAGAGACCUAUGACAAUGCUUACAGAUGUCCGACAACUCAUAUCAAGUGGAGGAAGUGUGAAUCAAAAGAAUGAUGAAGGAGUUACACUGCUUCACAUGGCCUGUGCAAAUGGAUACAGGAAUGUGGCGUCUCUGAUCCUGGAUCAUGGGGCUGAUCUCAAUGCAGUGGAUAAUCAGUACUGGACACCUCUUCAUUUAGCUGCAAAGUAUGGGCAGACAAACCUUGUGAAGCUGCUUUUGAUGCACUGGGCAAAUCCCAAUCUUCUUAACUGCAAUAAUGAAAAGCCUUCAGAUAUUGCAGCUUCUGAGUUUAUUGAGGAAAUGCUUCUAAAGGCUGAAAUUGUCUGGGAGGAAAAAAUGAAAGACCCUUUAUCUGUUUCUACUUUAUCUCAAGAAGAGCCAUAUGAAGAGAUCAUCCAUGAUCUGCCCACACUUUCCAAUAAACUCAAUCCCCUGGCUUUACCGAUUGCCAAGCAAGACAGUUUGCUGGAGAAAGACACCAUGUUUAAAGAUGCAGCUAAAGGUUUGUGUAAGCAGCAAUCUCAAGACAGUGCAUCUGAAAAUGUCGCAGUGAACAGUACAAGCAAACUUGAACAGAUCAAGCUAAUGCCUCCAGCUCCGAAUGAUGACCUGGCUUCUUUGAGUGAGCUAACAGACAGCAGCCUGCUUUAUGAGAUCCAAAAGCGUUUCAAUAAUAAUCAGAUAUAUACCUACAUUGGUGAUAUACUGCUGCUUGUUAACCCAUUUAAAGAACUUCCUAUUUAUUCUACUAUGGUCACUCAACUUUACUUAAGCAACUCUGGAAAACUGUGUUCCUCGCUUCCUCCACAUAUAUUUUCCUGUGCCGAAAGAGCUUACCACAUGCUAUUCCAGGAGCAGCGUCCCCAGUGCUUUAUCCUCAGUGGAGAAAGUGGUUCUGGAAAGACAGAAGCCUGCAAACAGAUAGUGAAGCACCUCACUUGCAGAGCCAGCUCCAGCGGAAAUACCUUUGAUACCAAGAUAAAACAUGUAAACUGUAUCUUGGAGGCCUUUGGACAUGCUAAGACACCCCUGAAUGAUUUGACCAGCUGUUUUAUAAAAUAUUUUGAGCUGCAGUUUUGUGAGAAGAAAAAAACGUUAUCUGGAGCUAGGAUUUAUACGUACAUGUUGGAGAAGUCUCGUGUCAUUAUGCAACCUCUCAACCAGAGCAAUUUUCAUGUGUUUUAUUUGAUGAUGGAUGGGCUGUCUGCUGAAGAAAAGUACGCGUUGUACCUCAGUAAUUUGUCUGCACACAGGUAUCUAAGCCAGAGCGUACUGGAAGACACGAUGGUAACAGGCAACCCUCAAAACAGGGAGAAAUUAGCUGUGCUAAAACAAGCUCUAAAUGCUGUGGGAUUCAAUAGCCUGGAGGUGGAGAACCUGUUUGUAAUUCUCUCUGCAAUCCUGCAUCUUGGGGACAUCCGGUUUACUGCUCUGACAGACGCUGAGACAGCAUUCGUGUCGGACCUGCAGCUACUGGAACAAGGUCGGUAGGACGCGGCCUUGGAGCAUCGUCUGCUUGGUCGCACAGCAGGGCUGUUUCGCUGAUCCGCCGACAGAUGGAAACACCGUUCCAGCGAGACAGACAGCCGCGUUCGCAAGUCUCAUCAGUUACUGUGGGAAGACAGUAUCCAGUUGACUUAGAUAUUUUAUAAACUACAGAUUUUUAUGGGACUAAAUAAAAUGCCAUUACGGCAAAUUAUCUAAUUCA
rnacentral:lncRNA from 1 species